rnacentral:rRNA from 1 species
GACGAACGCUGGCGGCGUGCUUAACACAUGCAAGUCGAACGAAGAGGCGAACGGGUGAGUAAUACGUGGGAACCUGCCCUCCUGUUUGGAAUGAGCCUUGGAAACGGGGUCUAAUACAGAAUAUAGGGGGAGGGGCUCGCGGCAUAUCAGCUUGUUGGUGGGGUGAUGGUCUACCAAGGCGGUGACGGGUAGCCGGCCUGAGAGGGUGAACGGCCACAGUGGGACUGAGACACGGCCCAGACUCCUACGGGAGGCAGCAGUGGGUAAUAUUGGACAAUGGGCGAAAGCCUGAUCCAGCCAUGCCGCGUGUGUGAAGAAGGUCUUCGGAUUGUAAAGCACUUUAAGUUGGGAGGCGUUACCAACAGAAUAAGCACCGGCUAACUUCGUGCCAGCAGCCGCGGUAAUUC